AAACCAGCACCUCAAGUGGUCAGGAUGAUUAUUGGGCCUAAAGCAUCCGUAGCCGGCUCUGUAAGUUUUCGGUUAAAUCUGUACGCUCAACGUACAGGCUGCCGGAAAUACUGCAGAGCUAGGGUGUGGGAGAGGUAGACGGUACUCGGGAGGAAGGGGUAAAAUCCUUUGAUCUUUCGAUGACCACCUGUGGCGAAGACGGUCUAUCAGAACACGUCCGACGGUGAGGGAUGAAAGCUGGGGGAGCAAACCGGAUUAGAAACCCGGGUAGUCC
rnacentral:rRNA from 1 species